rnacentral:tRNA from 1 species
UCCCUGGAGGACUAGUGGUUAGGCCACAGCGCUCUCACCUCUGUGGCCUGGGUUCGUUUCCUGGCCAGGGAA